GACGAACGCUGGCGGCGUGCCUAACACAUGCAAGUCAACUUGACUGAAGGAGCAAUCUGACAGUAGAGUGGCGCAAGGGUGCGUAACGCGUAAGUAACUUGCCCCAAGGUAAGGAAUAACGUCGAGAAAUCGGCGCUAAUACCUCAUAAUGCAGCGGAUCCGCAUGGAUAUGUUGUUAAAGGUUUACCGCCUUGGGAUAGGCUUGCGUCUGAUUAGUUAGUUGGUGUGGUAACGGCACACCAAGGCUACGAUCAGUAACUGGUCUGAGAGGAUGAUCAGUCACACUGGAACUGAGACACGGUCCAGACUCCUACGGGAGGCAGCAGUGAGGAAUAUUGGGCAAUGCUCGAAAGAGUGACCCAGCAACGCCGCGUGGAGGAUGAAGGUAUUCUAUAUCGUAAACUCCUGUGAGAGCAGACGAAAGACAGAUAUUAAUCUGGAUGACUGUAUGCUCAGAGGAAGCCCCGGCUAACUACGUCG
rnacentral:rRNA from 1 species